rnacentral:rRNA from 1 species
GACAGAGGCCCCGAGCGUUAAUCGGAAUCACUGGGCUUAAAGGGUGCGUAGGCCGGCCCGCAAGUGCUUUGUGAAAUCCCCCGGCUCAACCGGGGAACAGCGGGGCAUACUGCGGGUCUUGAGGAAGGUAGGGGUUGCCGGAACUGUAGGUGGAGCGGUGAAAUGCGUAGAUAUCUACAGGAACGCCGAUGGUGAAGACGGGCAACUGGGCCUUUCCUGACGCUGAGGCACGAAAGCGUGGGGAGCAAACAGG